rnacentral:rRNA from 1 species
AAAUUGAAGAGUUUGAUCAUGGCUCAGAUUGAACGCUGGCGGYAGGCCUAACACAUGCAAGUCGAACGGUAACAGAAAGCAGCUUGCUGCUUUGCUGACGAGUGGCGGACGGGUGAGUAAUGUCUGGGAAACUGCCUGAUGGAGGGGGAUAACUACUGGAAACGGUAGCUAAUACCGCAUAACGUCGCAAGACCAAAGAGGGGGACCUUCGGGCCUCUUGCCAUCGGAUGUGCCCAGAUGG